rnacentral:rRNA from 1 species
GACGAACGCUGGCGGCGUGCUUAACACAUGCAAGUCGAACGGAAAGGCCCUGCUUUUGUGGGGUGCUCGAGUGGCGAACGGGUGAGUAACACGUGAGUAACCUGCCCUUGACUUUGGGAUAACUUCAGGAAACUGGGGCUAAUACCGGAUAGGAGCUCCUGCUGCAUGGUGGGGGUUGGAAAGUUUCGGCGGUUGGGGAUGGACUCGCGGCUUAUCAGCUUGUUGGUGGGGUAGUGGCUUACCAAGGCUUUGACGGGUAGCCGGCCUGAGAGGGUGACCGGCCACAUUGGGACUGAGAUACGGCCCAGACUCCUACGGGAGGCAGCAGUGGGGAAUAUUGCACAAUGGGCGGAAGCCUGAUGCGGCAACGCCGCGUGCGGGAUGACGGCCUUCGGGCUGUAAACCGCUUUCGCCUGUGACGAAGCGUGAGUGACGGUAAUGGGUAAAGAAGCACCGGCUAACUACGUG